rnacentral:rRNA from 1 species
UGGUUCCUACGGGGGGCAGCAGUAGGGAAUCUUCCACAAUGGGCGAAAGCCUGAUGGAGCAACGCCGCGUGGGUGAAGAAGGUCUUCGGAUCGUAAAACCCUGUUGUUAGAGAAGAAAGUGCGUGAGAGUAACUGUUCACGUUUCGACGGUAUCUAACCAGAAAGCCACGGCUAACUACGUGCCAGCAGCCGCGGUAAUACGUAGGUGGCAAGCGUUAUCCGGAUUUAUUGGGCGUAAAGAGAACGCAGGCGGUCUUUUAAGUCUGAUGUGAAAACCUUCGGCUUAACCGGGGGAGUGCAUUGGG